ensembl:lncRNA
AAAAAAAAAAAAGAAGAAGAGAAAAAUAUAGGACUGGAAGUAAAUAUUGGUUGGUGACGAUGGUUGACAAAUUCCGUUUCAAGCUCCUAUCUCACCGCCCACGGGGAUCAUUUUUUUGUCUGGCCCUGGUCCAAGGAGGGCAGUGCAAGGGGCACUGCCCAAGCCUAUUUUCCUAUAUACCAGGCCCAGAAAACUUUGCGAUUGAUGAUUAGAUUACAUCUUUUAUUUCCUACAUAGAGGAUAUUUUUUCUAUUCCUUAUUUUGUUGUUAUUGUUGGAAACACAGCUCAGAGUAAAAGCAAAGGAAAUAAGAGCUGUAUGAAAGAUUACUUACUUCUCUAGCAGCUGUGGAAGAGUUAGCGCCUUAGCACUGAUGGUUUAUUUCCAUGAUUCAGGAAAUAUUCAUGUUGUUUUGUCUUUAAGGACAAAAACGCUUGUUGAAUGCUUUUUUUUCAUUUUUGUAAGUUUUAUGGAAGCUGAUUCACCAGGUUGUGAUCAUUUCAGUAGACUGCUUAUUAAAGGACAUAUUUAGUGGGUAUAAUUAUUAUUAGUUUUCUUUUUUCUUUUAUGUUGUCUUUUUAGGACUGCGCCCCUGGCAUAUGUAGGUUCCCAGGCUAGGGGUCGAAUCGGAGCUGCAGCUCCUGGCCAAUCCCAGAGCCACAGCAACACCAGAUCCGAGCGGCAUCUGCAGCCUGCACCACAGCUCGUGACAACGCCGGAUCCUCAACCCACUGAGCGAGGCCAGGGAUCGAACUUGCAACCUCAUGGUUCCUAGUCAGAUUCGUUUCCACCGUGCCAUGAUGGGAACUCCCUAGUGGGUAUGAUUAAUUUAAACUUUAAAAAAAAUUAUUUUAUCAAAGUAUAGUUGGUUUACAAUGGUGUGUUCCUGGUUUACAGCACAGUGAUUCGGUUAUAUAUGUAUAUAUAUGUUCUUUUUCACAUUCUUUUCGUUAUGGUUUAUUACAGGGUACCGAAUGUGGUUUCCUGUGCUAUACAUUAGGACCUUAUUGUUUAUCCUGUAUAUAAAAUAGUUUCCAUCUGCUAAUCCCAAACUCCCAUUCCUCCCUCCGCCACCCCUCCUGCCCCUUGGCAGCCACAAGAUUGUUCUCUGUGUCUGUGAGUCUGUUUCUGUUUCAUAGAUGAGUUCAUUUUUAUCAUAUUUAGAUGGCACAUAUAUGUGACGCCAUGUGACACCUGUCUUUCUCUUUCUGAGUUACUUCAUUUAGUGUAAUAAUCUCUAGGUCCAGCUAUGUUGCUGAAAAUGGCAUUGUCUCAUUCUUUUUAAGGCUGAGGAGUAUUCUACUGUAUCUAUAGUAAUUUUAAGUUUUUAUGUCAAGUAGUAGUCAUGGAAAGGACACUUGGAGAAAAUGUAUGCACGUGUAACAAUUUAUUCACGUAAAAAACAUGGAGUUAAGAUGUUAUGAUAAGAGGGGGAGGGAGUGGGGUGGUUGGGGAGCUUGGGGUUAAUAGAUACAAACUAUUGCCUUUGGAAUGGAUUAGCAAUGAGGUCCUACUGUAUAGCCCUGGGAACUAUGUCUAGUCACUUAUGAUGGGGCGUGGUCAUAUGCAAAAAUAGAAUGUGUGCAUGCAUGUGUAACUGGGGCACCAUGCUGUACAGUAGAAAAACAAUUGUGUUGGGGAAAUAACUAUUAAAAUUUUUUUUAAAUGUUAUAAGUACCUGUCAAAGUGUUUCCCUUCCUUUUCUAGGUAAUUUAGGGGAGUAUUGAGGAAUGGAUGUAUAAUAUUUGCGUGACCUAGCAAGCCAACACCUACAGCUUAACACUGUUAUGGUAGAUGUAUUUCCAGCAUGUCCAGUCUUCAAACCAUACAGGACAUGCAAUUUUAAAUGUGUGAAAUUAUGAGGUUAUAGUCUUUCUUUCUUCUGUCCUUAUUCAUAUGCGAUAGAAUUUCCCACUUCUCCAAUCUGAAUGAUUGGAUGUUUUUCUCAGAUUAAACACUUAAGCUUAAAAUGGUUAUACACAUUGGCCAUUCAGCUUUGAAUUAGUCUUCAUUUUUUUUUUAAACCUACCCCAUGACAGUUUAAAAUUAACGAAAUGGCCCACAUGUCAUAUCUGUCACUUCUACAUUUUUUGUUUUAGCGAUUGUGAUUAGCAGAUAAUUUGUGGGAUCCCGUGACAAUUCACUACAGCAAACAAGUAGUCUUAGGACAGAUUCUGUUUCUAUUCACAUUUUAAAAUAACUUCUCCAUAUUCAAAAUGCGUUAAGAUUUCUGCUCUGAGUAAUGCAGCACCUUCUCCUUCUUCCACAAAUCACUUGGGAUAGGUUGUAAGUCUCGGCUUCAUGUGGAUUUCAGAGAUGGGAAAGAAACUCUCUCAGCUGAUAAAGUGUAGGUUGAUAGUACCAUAUAUUCAUUCCUUCAUUAAGCAUUUAUUGGUCCAUUAUUCAGUGUCCAGAAUUUCUGUUUAAAACACCUAAAGAUAACAAUUCAGUUUGAUAGGACUUCAUAAAUGUGCUUUAUAAUUUAGAUUUAGGUUUUCCUGGCUUUUAUCAAUUUAGUCACAUCC